UGGCAUCCUGUAAAGGGUCUACUUCUUCAGCCCUGGAACCUCUAACCUGCCUCUUGAAACAAGCCAAGUCCAAAAUUUCUUCUUUGGGAUCUCAGCAGGGAUGUCCAGAAGACAACAAAGAGAGUGACACGGGUA